rnacentral:rRNA from 1 species
GACGAACGCUGGCGGCGUGCUUAACACAUGCAAGUCGAACGCUGAAGCUCAGCUUUUGUUGGGUGGAUGAGUGGCGAACGGGUGAGUAACACGUGAGUAACCUGCCUCCUUCUUUGGGAUAACGCCCGGAAACGGGUGCUAAUACUGGAUAUUCACUGGUCUUCGCAUGGGGGUUGGUGGAAAGGGUUUUUCUGGUGGGGGAUGGGCUCGCGGCCUAUCAGCUUGUUGGUGGGGUGAUGGCCUACCAAGGCGUUGACGGGUAGCCGGCCUGAGAGGGUGACCGGUAACAUUGGGACUGAGAUACGGCCCAGGCUCCGACGGGGGGCAGCAGUGGGGAAUAUUGCACAAUGGGCGCAAGCCUGAUGCAGCGCCGCCGCGUGAGGGAUGGAGGCCUUCGGGUUGUGAACCUCUUUCGCUCAUGGUCAAGCCGCAACAAUGGUUGUGGUGAGGGUAGUGGGUAAAGAAGCGCCGGCUAACUACGUG